UUAAGUCAGGCAACGAGCGAGACCCGCACUCUUAAUUGCCAGCAACACCGCGAGGUGGUUGGGUACAUUAGGAGGACUGCCGUGGCUAACACGGAGGAAGGAACGGGCAACGGUAGGUCAGUAUGCCCCGAAUGGGCUGGGCUACACGCGGGCUACAAUGGUCGAGACAAUGGGUUCCCACCCCGAGAGGGGACGGUAAUCUCCGAAGCUCGAUCGUAGUUCGGAUUGUGGGCUGAAACUCGCCCACAUGAAGCUGGAUUCGGUAGUAAUCGCGUGUCAGCAGCGCGCGGUGAAUACGUCCCUGCUCCUUGCACA
rnacentral:rRNA from 1 species